UGUCGCUAAGCGAGCACCGACAGGUUGUCUCAUCGUGAUGCGGAGUCACAGGUUCAAACCCCGACGGAAGUCAGAGUUUGGCCUGAGUUAAAUCAAGGAUUGUUAGGAAGGCAGGCAACUGAGCACCCGCACCUUGAGCUCUGAAUGGACAUGAGAUUGCAGCCUU
rnacentral:SRP_RNA from 1 species